rnacentral:tRNA from 1 species
GCCAUUGUAGUACAGUGGUAGUACAUCCUUCUAAAGGAAGACCUUGGUUCGAUUCCCAGCAAUGGCA